UGUCGAGUAAGGAGCAGAGCCUUACUGGGGCAUUUGCCCGGAAGAUGCAGACAAGGGGAUGCGCAGUGAUUUCCAAACAUUGCUGCACGUUGGAAUCACCUGAGGAGUUUUGAAAAACACCGAUGGCCAGAGAGAGGGAGAGAGCACGAGCCGGAGGAGCAGAAGAAGAGGGGGGAGAGAAUCUCAAGUAGAUUCUGCGCUCAGCGUGGAGCCCAACGUGGGGCUCAAUCUCAUGACCAGAGCCAAAACCAAGUCAGAAGUUAACAGGCUGUGCCACCCAGGCACCCCUUAUUGCUGGGAUUUUUAAAGCACCCAGUCACAGACAGAGAGAGAGAGAGAGGCAGAGACACAGGCAGAGGGAGAAGCAGGCUCCAUGCACCGGGAGCCCGACGUGGGAUUCGAUCCCGGGUCUCCAGGAUCGCGCCCUGGGCCAAAGGCAGACGCCAAACCGCUGCGCCACCCAGGGAUCCCGGCCUUGUCCUUUUUAAAGGGUCCCUGCCCACCCUCCCACGCUCCUACCCUGUCGUGGAGGGACGGCUCAGAGCCUCACCUGUAACACAUAGUCCACGCUGCUCCGCGUUUCCCAGCCCUGGACAGAGCACUCAGGGAGCCAGUGUUGGCAGCGCCUGGAGAAGUGACUGAGGAGAGAGGACAAGAUAGUAGCACUGCUCCUUC